rnacentral:rRNA from 1 species
AAGUCAGAUGUGAAAGCCUUCUGUUCAACGGAAGAAUUGCAUCUGAAACUGCGAGUCUUGAGUGUAGGAGGGGAGAAUGGAACUUCUGGUGGAGCGGUGAAAUGCGUAGAUAUCAGAAGGAACGCCGGCGGCGAAAGCGAUUCUCUGGCCUAUUACUGACACUCAGUGUGCGAAAGCUAGGGGAGCAAACGGGAUUAGAUACCCCGGUAGUCCUAGCCGUAAACGAUGGGCACUAAGUAGAGGGAAUUACCGAUAUUCUCUCUGCCGUAGCUAACGCAUUAAGUGCCCCGCCUGGGGAGUACGGCCGCAAGGCUAAAACUCAAAAGAAUUGACGGGGGCUCGCACAAGCGGUGGAGCAUGUGGCUUAAUUCGAUGCAACGCGAAAAACCUUACCGGGGCUUGACAUGAUAGAAGUAGGAACCCGAAAGGGUAACGAACGGUAUCCAGUCCGUAGCUAUUACAGGUGUUGCAUGGCUGUCGUCAGCUCGUGUCGUGAGACGUUGGGUUAAGUCCCCUAACGAGCGAAACCCUUGUUUUUAGUUGCCAUCGGGUUGUGCCGGGCACUCUAGAAAGACUGCCGUCGUCAAGACGGAGGAAGGUGGGGACGACGUCAAGUCAUCAUGGCCCUUAUGCUCCGGGCUGCACACGCGCUACAAUGGUCGGUACAAACGGAAGCGAAG